rnacentral:rRNA from 1 species
UACAGAGGGUGCAAGCGUUGUCCGGAUUUAUUGGGCGUAAAGAGCGUGUAGGCGGCCAGGUAGGUCCGUUGUGAAAACUCGAGGCUCAACCUCGAGACGUCGGCGGAAACCAUCUGGCUAGAGUCCGGAAGAGGAGAGUGGAAUUCCUGGUGUAGCGGUGAAAUGCGCAGAUAUCAGGAAGAACACCCGUGGCGAAGGCGGCUCUCUGGGACGGUACUGACGCUGAGACGCGAAAGCGUGGGGAGCGAACAGG